rnacentral:rRNA from 1 species
UACAGAGGGGGCAAGCGUUGCUCGGAAUUACUGGGCGUAAAGGGCGCGUAGGCGGGAUGGCAAGUCGGUCGUGAAAUCCCUCGGCUCAACCGAGGAACGUCGAUCGAUACUGCUGUUCUUGAGGAUUGCAGAGGAGACUGGAAUUCCCGGUGUAGCGGUGAAAUGUGUAGAGAUCGGGAGGAACACCGGUGGCGAAGGCGGGUCUCUGGGCAAUUCCUGACGCUGAGGCGCGAAAGCGUGGGGAGCGAACAGG